rnacentral:rRNA from 1 species
UACGGGGGGGGCAAGCGUUGUUCGGAAUUACUGGGCGUAAAGGGCGCGUAGGCGGUUUGCUAAGUUGAAUGUGAAAACUCUGGGCUUAACCCAGAGCCUGCAUUCAAUACUGGCAGGCUAGAGUUCUGGAGGGGAUAGCGGAAUUCCUGGUGUAGCGGUGAAAUGCGUAGAUAUCGGGAGGAACACCAGUGGCGAAGGCGACUUCCUGGCCUGUUCUUGACGCUGAGGCGCGAAAGCUAGGGUAGCAAACGGG